AGAGUUUGAUUAUGGCUCAGAACGAACGCUGGCGGCGCGUCUUAAGCAUGCAAGUCGAGCGGCAAGGUGCAGCAAUGUACCCUAGAGCGGCGGACUGGUGAGUAACACGUGGGUGACCUACCCUUAGGAUGGGGAUAGCCAUUAGAAAUAGUGGGUAAUACCGAAUACGGUCGGGGGAUUAUGAUUUCCCGAAGAAAGGAGCCUCGGCUCCGCCUGAGGAUGGGCCCGCGCCCCAUUAGCUAGUUGGUGAGGUAAGAGCCCACCAAGGCAAUGAUGGGUAGCCGGCCUGAGAGGGUGAACGGCCACACUGGGACUGAGAUACGGCCCAGACUCCUACGGGAGGCAGCAGCUAAGAAUAUUCCGCAAUGGACGAAAGUCUGACGGAGCGACGCCGCGUGGAUGACGAAGGCCGAAAGGUUGUAAAAUCCUUUUGUUGAUGAAGAAUAAGUGCAGGAGGGAAUGCCUGCAUGAUGACGUUAGUCAACGAAUAAGCCCCGGCUAAUUACGUGCCAGCAGCCGCGGUAACACGUAAGGGGCAAGCGUUGUUCGGAAUUAUUGGGCGUAAAGGGCGCGUAGGCGGUCUUACAAGCCUGGCGUGAAAGCCCGCAGCUUAACUGCGGGACUGCGUUGGGAACUGUGAGACUUGAGUCAUGGAGGGGGAGUUGGAAUUCCAGGUGUAGGGGUGAAAUCUGUAGAUAUCUGGAAGAACACCGGUGGCGAAGGCGAACUUCUAGCCAAUGACUGACGCUGAGGCGCGAAAGUGCGGGGAGCAACAGGAUUAGAUACCCUGGUAGUCCGCACCAUAAACGAUGUACACUAGGUGUUGGUCCGAGCGGAUCAGUGCCGAAGCUAACGUGAUAAGUGUACCGCCUGGGGAGUACGCCCGCAAGGGUGAAACUCAAAGGAAUUGACGGGGGCCCGCACAAGCGGUGGAGCAUGUGGUUUAAUUCGAUGAUACGCGAGGAACCUUACCUGGGUUUGACAUAGCGAGGAAUGUGGU
rnacentral:rRNA from 1 species